rnacentral:rRNA from 1 species
GAUCAUGGCUCAGGACGAACGCUGGCGGCGUGCCUAAUACAUGCAAGUCGAGCGGAGGUUAUUGAGUAGUAAUACGAGAUGACCUUAGCGGCGGACGGGUGAGUAACGCGUGAGCAACCUGGCCUAUACAGGGGGGAUAACAGGGAGAAAUUCCUGCUAAUACCGCAUAAGACCACAGUAUCGCAUGGUACUGGGGUCAAAGGAGAGAUUCGGUAUAGGAUGGGCUCGCGUCCCAUUAG